GAUGAACGCUGGCGGCGUGCCUAAUACAUGCAAGUCGAGCGAACAGACGAGGAGCUUGCUCCUCUGACGUUAGCGGCGGACGGGUGAGUAACACGUGGAUAACCUACCUAUAAGACUGGGAUAACUUCGGGAAACCGGAGCUAAUACCGGAUAAUAUAUUGAACCGCAUGGUUCAAUAGUGAAAGACGGUUUUGCUGUCACUUAUAGAUGGAUCCGCGCCGCAUUAGCUAGUUGGUAAGGUAACGGCUUACCAAGGCAACGAUGCGUAGCCGACCUGAGAGGGGGAUCGGCCACCCUGGAACGGAGACACGGUCCAGACUCCUACGGGAGGCAGCAGUAGGGAAUCUUCCGCAAUGGGCGAAAGCCUGACGGAGCAACGCCGCGUGAGUGAUGAAGGUCUUCGGAUCGUAAAACUCUGUUAUUAGGGAAGAACAAAUGUGUAAGUAACUAUGCACGUCUUGACGGUACCUAAUCAGAAAGCCACGGCUAACUACGUG
rnacentral:rRNA from 1 species